UACAGAGGGUGCAAGCGUUGUUCGGAAUUAUUGGGCGUAAAGCGCGUGUAGGCGGCUUCGCAAGUCGGGUGUGAAAUCCCUCGGCUCAACCGAGGAAGUGCGCCCGAAACUGCAGAGCUUGAGUACCGGAGAGGAUGGUGGAAUUCCCCAAGUAGAGGUGAAAUUCGUAGAUAUGGGGAGGAACACCGGUGGCGAAGGCGACCAUCUGGACGGAUACUGACGCUGAGACGCGAAAGCGUGGGGAGCAAACAGG
rnacentral:rRNA from 1 species